rnacentral:lncRNA from 1 species
CUAUCUCCUUUCCCCGCAGUGGGUCAGAAAUGUUCCAGUUGAUUUCUUGAGAUUUUAGCUCUAGUGCCUUCUAAUACGGUUCCUCAGUUAAGCAGUGCUCUGUUAAAAGACAGCACUGAAAUAUGAGUGCUCAUCUGGUUCAGUACUUUUGGACGCUAGACUGCUGGCAGCCUUUCAGGUCUUGCCUUUGAACACGGAGAAGGCCAAGCUGGUCUGUGAUUUAGGUAGUUUCAAGUUGUUGGGCUGGACGUUUAAUUUCACAGGAACCUGAAACUGCCUGAAUUGCUCCAGUUAAACACAGCAUUGUCCGUUCAACGUGGAAUGAGGAUAUAUUGUCGACUUCAUACUGAUUUAAUAAUCCUUGCAAGCGAGCCAUUCUCACUGAUCGUGCUUAUGUUAUUAUUGCAGUCAUCACAUCGUGUAGUUUCUUUCUUUGACAUAUUACUUACACACUCAGUAACUGGCAUAUAUAAUAUUACAAUUGUUUUUUUUUUUUAAAUUAAUGAAAACAUGGCUACAAGCGUUGGUUGUAAAUCUGAUCAUUCACAACACUGCAUUUCUUCGAUAGUUUUCGCCUCCUUUUUCAAAAUGGCUUUUUUUUUGUUAAUUUUUACUUCACAUCGGUGAGUUGGCAGAUACAAGUCCUGCACGAUUUUAAAACACAUUUUAAGUUUUAAAAAUUCAAACACAAUGCCUCAAUUAUUCUUUUAUAAAUAUUCAAAUGUUUUAGGAAAUGUGAUGUUAAUCAUUUCUGAUUACCUGUAAAAUUUUGCAGAGUAGUAUAGACACCUUUUCAUGCUGUAUAAAACACAAACCUAUUUCAUGUUUUUUAUAUAAAAACAUGAUCUAUAAAAAAAAACGCGUUUCUUUUGAUCUCAUCCGUGUAGAAAGUUGGUUAGCCUAUUUACUGUUGUACUAGGUCUGUUGUGUGUAUUCCUAGUCAACUGAGCAACUGCUGUCUCUCUGGGUUAAUUUGUAUUUUUACUUAAAUCUUUGUGUGAAGCUUUGUGUGUGACUAGCCUGCCAGUGUAGUUUUCAACAGAUCGUUGAAGAUCUAAGUUUUUAAAUUUUUUUUUUUAAUUUACAUUUUAAAUGUAGCUACAGGGAGGGAUAAUUUUGCUAAAACAGUAAUGAAUGGUCCAAAAAACGUUUACAACAUAUCUCAUCAAUUUUGUCGUUUUAGAAUCUGUUGUGUUAAGAAAUAUACAAUUAGUGACAAGUCCACAAACAUAUUUUUUUUCAUAGGCUUUAUCAUAUAAAAAAUCUGUGAUAUUUCUUUAGAACAAACUCAUUAGAGCAGUAGAAAACUUAAGAUAUAGAAAACCUUUUAAAAUGGAUUUUUUUUAUGAUUUGAAAUAUACACGUUGCGGUAACGUUUCCAGAGUGCCUGCUUGUGAUGACCAAUAGCGUGCAACAAUAUUGGUAAAUAUGCUAUCAUUGCUGAAGUCAUCGGUAGGCUAUACCAGCGAAAAAUAUGGCGAAAUUCGAAAUUUUACGAAUUCUUGCGACAUGUAAAUUCUUAUUACAGCACUAGCCCAUUAGAUACAGGAAACUCUCCAUACUGAAGGUGAGACGUGCAGUUUGACCUUCCAGUUAAGGACCACUCUUCUAUACUGAAUAAAAUAAGAGAUGUUUAGGGUAGGCCUACUUAUAAAUAGUUAUUAAACGGUGUUGAUAUUAAGACAUUUUAAACUUUGCUUUGAAAAGGAUACAUUAAUCUCUUUGUUGCUUAUGCCUUGAUUAGGCCUACUUGAAGAAACUUCAUGCUAAAAUAUAAAACAUGCAGAAUGUGGACAAGAAAGAUACUGAGUCAUGCUUAACAGUCAAAGAAACCUAACACUAUAACGUUUUAAAAAAUCUCCUACAGAUUAGGCUAUACAUUAUUCUAGUUAUUCUUUAAAUUGAUAUUUAUUUGCAAUACCUGUGGUAAGAUUUAACAUUUGUUUGAAUGAAAUGUCUUUGUUUGUUCAAAAGAGGUGUUGUUUCUUUAUAAACAGGAAUAUGUUAAAUAAAAUUGUAUUUUCUGUGGUCACAUGCUGCAAACAGUACACAAAUUUCACUAAAGAAAUACUUGAAACUUUGUAUGCUCACCAGUAGGUCUUUUUUUUUUUUUAGAUUAUCACAUCAUACAUUUUAACUAGCUUGAUAGUAUGUAGCAUGUUCCACGGUAUGCUCUGAAUGGUAUUCAUAGCAUAGAGGCCUAAUUUUACGUAAUACGAUCCAAAUAGAUUACAAUAUAGGCUUAAUGUGUAGCUUUCCAUACUAAUUUUUUUUUUUUUUUAGAUUGUUUCCUUUUCUCUAGUAAUUCCAACAGAAAGAAGAGAUUCUUGAAUUCACAAUGUGAAUUAAUGCACAUAGUAGGUCUUUUUUUUUUUAGUUAUUAUCACAUCAUACAUUUAACUAGCUUGAUAGUAUGUAGCAUGUUCCACGGUAUGCUCUGAAUGGUAUUCAUAGCAUAGAGGCCUUAAUUUACGUAAUACGAUCCAAAUAGAUUACAAUAUAGGCUUAAUGUGUAGUCUUCUAUUACUAAUUUUUUUUUUUUUUAGUAUUGUUUCCUUUUCUCUAGUAAUUCCAACAGAAAGAAGAGAUUCUUGAAUUCACAAUGUGAAUUAAUGCACAUGUGACGAGUUGAUUUUACAGGGUGUUGUUAAAUGCCUUUUUAAAACGGCUUGUGAUUUAAGUGCAUAGACUUUUCCUGAUGCAAUUAACAUUUUAGUGGUUUUAUAGAGUCUAUAGCGCAACUUACUGCACAAAUGUAUCUUAUUAUGCAACAUGCCCUGUUUACCCGUGGUUACGGGUGUUGUUAUAAACCUAGCACGAAGCUAAUUAUGGGCUAUCUAAACUCACAUGAAAUAAGAUGGUAAUAGUUGCUUUAAUGUAUUUUUUCAGUUGUAAUUACUUUUGUAAAUUUAUAAGCAUAAUUUGCUGUUGUCCUUUUGCUGAGGCAUAACAGCAUAAUUUGCUCUAUUCAUUCUUAUAGUUUAGGGGCAACUAUUUAUUUGGCACGGCCAAGACACACAGCAAGUGCUGAAUUCACUGUUAUAUUGUAUUAUAUUGCAUUGAUGGUCCAAGACAUUCACCAAAAAGAAAAAGAAAAUCCUGUUUAUUUGUGUGUGUGAAAUGAGCGACUGGAUGGAAUACUACAAGCGGAGUCGUUCACGGUCCUCGCCACAGGCAAUAUAUCAGGCCUAUAAAAAUCAAAGCUGCCUGAUGUAGUAUUUUAUUAUAGUAUUAAACGACCAAAAAAGUUCAAGUAGUUUCUUCCAUAAAUACAAGGAGAUUGUCGCACGGUGGUGUUUAAUACCCUCGUUAAGAAAAAAUGACUGUUAAUUUCCCAAUAAAGCUGUUCAUUAUCUCA